rnacentral:lncRNA from 1 species
UCCUGUGCCAUGGAAGCCUUGAAUUCCAGUGCCCGUUACUUCUUCUGCUGCCAGUGGCUCCCAUUUGUGUUCUCUCCCGUGGCAUCCCUGUGUACUCAUCAGCUCCUAUUCCUCCAGCUCAACCAAAGUUCUUUUAACAGUAAAAACCAAUAUGCAAAGAAAAGGAGGGAGAGAUGGAACCAUCAAGCCCUCCUGGGCUCAGAAUAUGUGUGUGUGUGUGCACAUACACAGGUGCAUGCAGCUUUGCAAUAUAAGAUUAAACUGUACAAUGUUCUAUAAUCUCCAUUUUUCCAUUCACUAUAUUAUGAACAUCUUCCAAAUCACCAUAUAGUUUUGUACAACACACAUUUUGAUGACUGAAUAGUAAUGUAUUCU